rnacentral:lncRNA from 1 species
AGUUCUUAUCAACCAACACUUUUAAUUGCAAAAAGUAAAAACCUUCAUUACAAUAAACUUUAAUUUACAUACAUUCUUCACAUGGUGGAAGUCUUUACCAGUUUGUAGUAUCCUGCACUUGAACACAUACUAAAAGCUCAAGCCAUUCAGAGCCGCUGUGGCUGUGACAGCUGCCUGCCUCCCUCUGCUCCCUGGGACCAUCCAGGGCCACCACACCCUGCUCCCGGAAGGAGAGCUGCAGCUGACCCUGGCACCUGUCCCCGAUGAUGGCGGGAGCACUGCGCUGAGUCCCUGUCUUGCCUGUGACUCCUCCUUCCCCGACCCUCGGCAUUGGUUACUGACCCUUCCCCAGGGUGGAGGUGAAGGAAGGGAAGACUGCAGCCAACAUUUUUCUGAGGGUAAAACUGUGGAAAGAAGUAUGGAGGGAAGCCUGUCUGGAUAAGAUGGGGCUUUCUGGGAAUGUCAUGUGUCUGCUGGCUCCUGUCACCUCCCUGGAAGGGUCCACAGUGCUGGGGGUUUCUGUCUGAAACUCAGACCUCGGCUGGGUUCCUUUCUCCACACAGUGCUUGCCGCCAUGGCUCAUUCUUGGAUUGAUGGCUGCUGCCUGCCUGACAGACACACUAGGCAGAGGCGGAAGGGUCUCUGGUCCAGCCCUGUCAAAUCCUGACAGUUCCAGGCCUCCACUUAGUUAUGUAACAUUCCUUCCCUCCACUAGUCUGAAAAAGUCUGGACAUUUCGCAGUCUCCAGGGAGAGGAAUAUGACAGAUGUAUUUGGCACUAAUGCUUAAAUUAUGCAGGGCAGGGAAACCAGAGACACUGAGGGACCUGGACAACAGACAAGCUGGCUGAGGGUUUCUCUUCAAGGCCAGCAUUUAGUCACACUGCGUCCACGGUGGGUGGACUUGGAUGUGGUGCACGAGAAGGAGAGCACCUGUCCGUCUCCCUGACAUGCUUCUGGAAGAGGCUGCUGGGGAUGUGGAGACUGGGGGUGGGGAGGACAGGGAAAUGCCUGCUGCUGGUGACACAAACACAUUCCCGGAGGCUUCCGUGUUUCAUUUGCUACAGAGCUGUCUCCACAAGCGCCUUCACUCUCCUAGCUUCCUGACCCUGCCAUGCAUCGGUUCUGUACACAACAUCUGCAGGUCCAAAUACAGAGAGAAUUUCAGCCUAAAGUACAACUUUAAAGCAUAUCUCUGACACUCCCUUCCUUCAACAAAUUGUAGUGGGUGAUGGGUCACCACUGAAAGGUAAUGAGUGUGGAACUUGUAUACUCAAGAGAGCUUUUCCUUCAUUGUCAGGAGAGCUCAAAAUCCUAAGAGGCCCUUCUGUUUAUAACUGAUUCUCGAAAGGUAGACAAAAUUGCCUCUCUCUGUGCAAACAGACAUGCGCCUUUCUCUCUCUUUCUCCUAUAACCUGGCUUUCUCCUUUAUGGACAAGGAGAUGCAAACAUUUGCUUUGGGGUUUGAACAUUCACUACGAAAGUGACUGGGUAAUAAGCAAACUCAUUCCAGGCUGUAUUAAAAUGACUGAGGCCAUCACCUGCAGCUAAGAAAUGUGAGUUUUUGUUUUAAAGUAAGUGUACACUGAGUCCUAUGCUGGGUUUUGGUAGAAGGGAACAGAAAACCAAGAAUUGAAAAACAAGUGAUGUAAACUCCAAGGGGACCCACAACUGGAAUUGAGCAGAGUCCCUCCUCUGUCACACAUCUGGAAGAAUGUGGAGACAGGAAAAUGGCUGGACACAGUUGUGUUUCAGCUACAUUCACUCUUAAAAAGAGUUUUCAAAUGGGGAGGGGAAAAGAAUACAGAGUAACUCACAGAAACAAAACAGAGAUCUCAGUAAUCAAAAUAGUUGCUUUGUUCCUAAGAAACCCUCUCUUUUGUUAAUGGGUCUGAUUUUUAAAAACUCUCAGAGGCCUCUAAAGCACUUGUUUACACAUAGCCCUUCCCCAUGUACAGCCAGGGUAAGGACACUGCAGAAGGCUGUAAAAGCUUGCACAAAGCCGGCCUCCAGAUGAUCCCUCUGACUUAAAACCUCUUAAAUCAUAACUGCUUAACAACAUGACUUUCAUACGUACACAAGUUUUGUUGUUCCUGUAUUCAUCCACACAAGGGGUUGAUUAAGAAAAAAUUCCCUCAGGUACAGUUCAUCGGAGUUUCACUGAAGCCCGUGGAGGAGGCUCUGAUGUUUCUAUCCUGAGCUCUGUGAACUCUGCUUGUCCUUUGCAAGCCCAUAGACAAACAGGCCAUUCAAGUGCUCAAUGGUCCCCACUGCUGUUCAUGAGACCCACAGAGAAAGAGGGCCUGAGAGAUGAGAUGCAGGCUCCUCCAGGAAUGAAGAGGGCUUCACAACCAUCUUCACUCGUCAUUGUCUGCCUCUGAUCCAUAAUUCUGACAUAGACACCUACUGCAUCCUUUGAUUUCUGCAAUUCAGAACCAGAGGCCAAAGUGUAGUUUGCUUUUUCUUCAUCUUGGCAAUGGCAUGACCAGUGGCCAGCUAUCUAGUGGUGUCAAUAAAAGAAUAAUAAAGAGAGAAAAAAAUAAAAGGAACAGGAAAAGAACAUCCUUAUUUACACCAUUUGAUUGCUACCUACUAAAAGCACUUAGGAGAAAACAAUGCACAUAGUGAAUCAUCCAAUCAGAAACACACAGCUUUAUAUUAUUACAAAAAAGAAAAACACCUCACCUUGUCUUUGUUUCGCAGCACAGACAG